rnacentral:rRNA from 1 species
UACGUAGGCAGCGAGCGUUGUUCGGAGUUACUGGGCGUAAAGCGUGCGUAGGCGGUGUCUUAAAGUUUGUUGUGAAAUCUCCCGGCUUAACCGGGAGGGUGCGGCGAAUACUGAGAUGCUGGAGUGCGGGAGAGGUAAGCGGAAUUCCUGGUGUAGCGGUGAAAUGCGUAGAUAUCAGGAGGAACACCUGCGGUGUAGACGGCUUACUGGACCGAUAACUGACGCUGAGGCACGAAAGCGUGGGUAGCAAACAGG